GCUGGGUGUGGUGAUGCACACCUGUAGUCCCAGCUACUCAGGAGGCUGAGGUGGGAGGAUCACUUGAGCCCAGGAGUUUGAGGCUGCAGAGAGCUAUGAUGGUGCCACUGCACUCCAGCCUGGGCAACAGAGCAAGACUCUGUCUCUU
ensembl:misc_RNA Metazoa_SRP Metazoan signal recognition particle RNA